CUGUGUGCCGCCUCAGGUGCUCCCGCUCCCCCCACCCCUGCUAGCUCCGCCCCGGCCUGCGUUCACUGGUUCCUCAAAUUUGCCUGCAGCCCAGCGGGGGCGCCGGUCGGACAGACCGGCGAUGGUGCCGCCACCCACGGAACCCCUGAGUACCGGAGGAGGGGCUCCCCUAGGUUUCGUGCCACGGCGUGGGAAGAGGGCAGGUGGCCACCAGCCCCAGGCGGAGAACUCCGGAACGCCAAAGAGAGGUGAAACUUGUGAGCCCGCAGUAUCUCUCCACAGUGCCACUCAGCCAUGGCCUGGCUCCUUCAACGAUGACCGGAGCCGCUGGGGGCUGUAAGGACAUCAUCCUCAUCAACUGCAGCUUCCUCCACCAUCAACUUUUGCGCUGCUGUCAACGCUGCUACUUCCAUCAGGAAAGAACAUUUUACUCGAGUAUCUCCCAGUGGUAUGACAGAGACAGACACUGAGAGAAGAGCUGGAUGAUCUUCAGGUCAGGUUUUGUCGUAUCACUUAAAAUCACAGUGGUUAUAUUUGUGUGCGCUUGCCAAGCAAAUCUGAUAAUGGGCUGCGUAUGAACCUUCAGAAUCCAUUACUGCCCAAGAGCUUCACAAAGUAGCAGCCUCUAUCCUGAGGUUCACCAGCUGUCCAGGGUCUACCAGCGAUGGCUGUUAGGUGGAGGAGUGAGGUCUGAGGCGGUUACUUGGCAUGCGGCAUCGAACUCUAAACGAGCUCAAGGAUGCUGGCUUACCAUGCCACUGGCCAAAGUGUUUUAUGAAACUCAAGCAUUUGUGGGUAAGUCCACAUGGAUGCCACACAGAAGAACAACUGCCACAUGAGCGCCAUGUUGGACCAAAUCCACAUUUGGUUGGGCUUAGGGUUUAAAAUGUCUGGUUUCAAUAGUUUGUUGAGAUCGAUGUUCGUACUGUUGCAUCACAUUAGUGCAAAUCAUACAUUAUUGAUGCUUGCCAUGAUUCUAAAAAGGGUCAUUUUAGCACAAAAUGUCAUGCCCCUGUCCCAGUGAAAUAGCAAGCCAACCAUACAAAAGAUGAAAAUCCCCUACACAAAACCCUUCUAUGGUAUCCCAACUCAUAUUUCCCACCUCACACAAACACCUAACAAGUUCAACUAACAAGUUCAAGUGGCUGUAAUUGAAAGGAUCGAGAUGGGCCUAGAGGUUGUUGUGUAGUGUAGAACACACAAUAUUAUUAUGCCAUAUUUUGCAGUACCGAGCAUGCCAAGAUGGAUAGGUCACUACCAUUUAGAUGAAAACAGCAAGAAGGAAAGAUUCAUUCAUUUUGCUCAAUCAAAAUGGAUCAAUCGUUACCUGAACCAUAGAAUUGAAACGAUGUGCACUGCUUGAGAGCUUUGGUUGAAGUGCCAAAUUAGCAACAGAAGAUCUAGCUAAUGGGCGAAUACCAUUUGGGGGAUAAGUGAGUGUCCAGUUAUCAGCUGCACCAAGUGCAGCAGUACUCUCUUCGAUUCUCCUCAAGUUAGCAUCUAAUGCUUACUCAUGACUGGGCUUGAACUGCUUCAGGAGGACAGCAGAAACAGAUAGACCACGAGCUUCCAGCAAGGAACAAUGGCCAAAUGAUAUUUGAACACAUUCUGCAGCUGCUCUCAAGCCUCCAGCGGCUGCACAAGAAGACAACACAUGCCUCUUUACCAGGAGUGCAAAGGACAAGACCAAGGUCGUGUGGUUGACUCCCCAUGCUGCCAAUUAUAUUUUUUGUGUGGUAGUCACACUUGGAGGACAAAAACAAUCACAGUGCGGCAAGGAGGAUGGAACCCAUGGCUUUGGCAAGCCCUUCACUUACCAUUGCAUUGUUUAUAUAUAGGAAUUUAGUCCAUGAUCAAAUUAUAACAAUCUCAUGAGAGUAUGCAUAAAACAACUUUAAUAACUAUGUUCUCUCACGAUAAGAUCCCAAGUUCCCAACAAAAUAGGGAAUUAUAAUAAGCAAUCUUGAAGCACCAACAAUAUGAGGAACAUAUGUGAUGUCCUGAUGGGGAACAAGAUGGGAGUGGUUGCUUUGAGAUACGUGGAUUCAAGUGGCACUCUUACUAUUGCUUUGGUCUGGUACAUAUCUAGUUUUCCGGUUUUUACCAUGAAGUAGUUUUGUUCCAUAUAUUUGCAGUCUGGAAUACAGUCAUUGGUGGAGUUUACCAGAAACGCUUACUGAAUUUCUAGUAAGAUGGAUGAUUUCUUUCAUGUUUCAGAAACCCUGUUUAUAUUGCCCAUCACAUAGGCCGUUUACACUGCUGUUAUGGCAACAUCACCUGUGCCAAAUUCUUACCGUCUUCAAUCAAUUCACAAAGUAGCAGCCUCUAUCCCACUGAUCCUUCAGAUCCUCAGGUGAGCUUAUUGUAAUCUGUAAAUCCUACUGAUUUCUUUCUGUUUAUUAUUAAUGGUUUAAGUUUGUCUAAGUUUGUCAUCUGAGCUAUACCCAUUCAUUGGUUCAUGAAGUAUUUGUUCAAAUUUAUUGCAAAAUCUUAGAUGUUCUGUUCUGCAACACACUGUAGAAGAUGAUACAAGCUUCCUUAGAAAAGGUUAGUGGACGAACACAAUGUUUUAGCAGUUGAAAUAGGUUUGUAAUGUAGCUUUUGGUGCAGAUACACACAACGAAGUCAACAUUAGCUGAAGAAGAGUAUCGAUGGGCAAAGAUGAUUUUCUUGGUGGUCAUAUGUAAAGAGAUCUAUUAUGAGGCUGGAUUGCUUGCCCAAAGUGAGCACAUGGUGUAGAGGGAGUGCAUGGAUAUGGAGGUGGAAGAAAACCUUGUUUAUAGUUCAGAGAAACUUGAGAAGCUAGGGUGGACCUGCCUUGAGGCCUGUAGAGAAGACCCUGAGGGACAGCGUCGAGUCUUACAGAGCAUCUGGCAUCCUGAACUGAGCAUCCAACUGGGACAAGCUUGGUUGUUGAUCCUUGCCAAACUGCUGGUGUACAAAUUCAGAAUGGUACGAGGGUCAGACAUCCUCAGUUAGAUGGGGGCGAAGCUCAAGCUGCUGGAACGGCUGAAUCACCGCAACCCUAGAAAUUGGCAACUGCUGUUACCAGUUGCGUUCAGAUUUCAGAGUAAAUUCAGGGAGACAAGCUUGAGCAUACGUACAUAGUAUUAGUAGAACAUACUGUAGAUGGGGGCGAUUUGGGGGUUACCUUCUGAGCAUAUUACCGUUGUCGCCUGGGGUGGAGCCCUUGGUGGCUGAGCAGGCGGUUGAAUCCAUCUGCGCUGCUGCUGCCGGUCCAGCGCGGGGUGAGGAGGGAGGUAGCGCUGCUACAGCGCGGGGUGUGGACCGCCACUGCUGCCGGGCUCACCAAACCAGGGGAAAUAUCCAGUGAUACCAGCCCUCACAGGCUCCCAUGAUACCAACUUCCUGUCAAAAAAAAAAGAUACCAACUUAAAAAUCUCAAAUUUAAACAUUUCAAAAAAUUCUGAAAAAAACAUGGAUGUUCAAAACAGAUAUGUUGAUAACCCCUAAAAGUUUCAGUUCAAAAUUCGAAAUAAACAUGGAGAAAUAAAAUAUGACAAAUUCAGGCGCGAAUAGUGUCAUUUUUGCUUUUGUCUUCUUUUGAUACUAUUCAUGAAAGAUUUGUGAUUUUUGUUUCUCAGUGUAUAUUUCGAAUUUGGAUCUGAAUUAUUUAGGGGUGUCUACAUAUAUGUCAUGAACAUCCAUGAUUUUUUUCAGAUUUUUUUUUGAAAUGUCUAAAUUUGAAAAAUUUAAGUUUGUAUCAUGGGAGCAUUUAAGGAUUGGUAUGGCCUGAUACUUUGCCCACCAAACUAUCCAGACAGACGGCCGGUCGCUGGCUUCCCAAACCGGACGCUCACGUUUGGGCUGACCGACACCCUACAAAUGCAGCCCAAAUCUGGGGCGGGUAUGUGUAGGACCCCGUGGACUGUCGAGCUCCGUCCGCACACUGUUUGGUGGCGGAUCUGACGGCUAGGACCUCGUUGACUGGAAGUUGAUGCUGCGGGAUGCGAAGCCCGAUGACAUGGAGGAGCUCGCCCUUGGCAUUGCAUUGGUCACGGUUGGACCAGGGCGACAGUGUAAGCUCUGGUUCCAUGUUGUCCCCCAUCACCCGACGACGAUGUGCAGGCAACGUUGCCGGCCCCCUGCGUCCUCUGCAUAGCUCUGACUGCUCUAUGCCCCUCCAGCGCCGAAAAAGACAUGGAUGCCCAAAUUAGAGGUCUGAGUCGCACGUAGCGAGCGACAACGGGCGAGGGAAAGGGCGGCGGCAGGGGAGACAUUGGGCGUGCGUUGGUGGAUUUGGAGGACUAGAUCCUUGCGACGGUCCUUUGGCUCUCCCUCACAAUGGCAGAGACGGAUGCGCGGUGGCUCCGCCAUAAAAACGCCUAAGCGCUCCAGCUAAGGGGCCCGUCUGGCCAUGGCGUAGGACAACACUAUUCAGAGAACGAUCGGCAACAUCUCCUUUGACGAGGACCCAGACCUCACAGACGGCUCCAGCUUCGACAAUGACGCACCUCCAGCCGUCGACGCCUACACGGAGAGGUACAACCACACCGUCGACCACAAGGGGAAGUGGACGACGAGGAGAUGGCGGUUUACUCCGCCCUUCUUUGUCUCUUCGUUUUAUCUGGUUUUAUUUAUGUUUAGUUAGUAUUUGUCUGGCGAUGAACACUUGUUCUUUUGGUUGUCCUAUGUAUGACCGGUACUGUGUGAUUGAUGCCCGAAUUAUG